AAAUGCGAUAAGUAAUGUGAAUUGCAGAAUUCAGUGAAUCAUCGAAUCUUUGAACGCACCUUGCGCUCCUUGGUAUUCCUUAGAGCAUGCCUGUUUGAGUAUCAUGAAAUCUUCAAAGUAAAUCUUUUGUUAACUCAAUUGGUUUCUACUUUGGUAUUGGAGGUCUUUGCAGCUUCACACCUGCUCCUCUUUGUUCAUUAGCUGGAUCUCAGUGUUAUGCUUGGUUCCACUCGGCGUGAUAAGUUAUCUAUCGCUGAGGACACUGUAAAAGGUGGCCAAGGUAAAUGCAGAUGAACCGCUUCUAAUAGUCCAUUGACUUGGACAAUACUUUUAUGAUCUGAUCUCAAAUCAGGUAGGACUACCCGCUGAACUUAAGC
rnacentral:misc_RNA from 1 species